rnacentral:lncRNA from 1 species
UUUUUUUGUAUGCAUCCACUCUACACAUAUAUAUACACAUACACACACAGACACCCCCAAAACAAGCUUAGUAUGAGCCAGAUCCAUUUCUUUAUCUCUAAAACAAAGAUUCAUUACAUGAUUUUCCUACUGGAUAGAAGUAUCAUCUAGGAAUUUAAGAAAGCUACACUUGGCUACAUUCAGCUCUAUUCCAGAAUUAGGUGAGCAAGGCACAGCAAUCUGAGCUCCACCUCCACUAAGGACUUGAGCUUUCUUCUGUAUUCUCAUCUACAUCCACCACAGCAGUAGCCCUCCAGUCAUCAACUGGGAUUCGUUUUAUAGCCUCUGAAUGCAAGCUUCUUCUACCAUGCCUCCCUCCCAAGGAACUGGAAAGACAAAUGAGACAGAUCUCCUGCCCACAUGAAAUCCUAACAGCAUAGGGCAGACUUCCAUCUGUUUAGUGGAGUUUAUUAUUUAAUUAGUAUGGGGGGCUUUGAGGAAAAAUAAGUAGGGUUAGCAAAACAACAAUAACUUUCAGCUAACAGAAACUUAUAUCCUUGUUUAUGUCCAGCUUUUACUCUUUAAUAUAUUUUUUCAAACUGACAUGUAAAUCAGCCAAAUUUUAUUAUAAUCAUCUGAAAUGAAUGUUUUCUUAUGGUUUACCAUGAACACAUUAUGAUGCCACCGCUACAACUGUUUAUCUGAUAUCACCUUGGGUGAAACCCCAGAAACAGCUUUCAUCCUAUAGUCCAGCCUAUCCGUGUUGCUCAACAGAAGGAAUGUCUACCUUUCCUCUACUGAAACUAUCUCACCAUCCCAAUGUGCUUGCCACCCAGUGUGUCUUUGCACUACUGAUGAACUCCAGGAAGCAUCAUAAUAUGAUGCUCUCGUCCAAAGGUUGAUCUGUUACCUAAUACUUGAUUCUCUAAAGCAUCAUUUGGCAGAGUUCUUUACAUACCAUGCUUGCAGAUAUUCUGCUAAUGAAACUCACCCUCAUGUAAAAUAUCAGAAUUAGAAAGCCCAACCACUAAUUUUAUUAAUUAGUUAUGAAUACAAAAUUGUGCUGAGGCGCAUACAAACUAUGAAAUUCCCAACUCAGCUGAUUAGAAAGAUGUUAUCCUUUAAAACAAGAAAAAGAAAUACCCAUAAAGCCGCACUUAGAACAGAAAGCAUAAUUGGCUUGCUAACUAGAAAAUAGAUGUCACUUAAAAAAAAAAAAAAAAGAAAGAAAAUAGAUGUCACUGUAAUCAGGAAAAUACAUGUUUUUUUUUUUAAGACAAAUAAAGUAUAACAUGUAUUUCCUGAAAAGUGAUUUUUUUUCAAACUAUACUGCUGAACUGUAUUCUGUUGUUAUAUAAGCCUUUGUAUAUCAACUCUGUGUCAAGUAACUAUAACAAUGCAAAUCAGUUAAUGAAGCUUCAAAAAAAUCGAUCUGGGAAUAUCAUAGGGAAAAAACUGUUUUUCAUCUACUUAAGCAACUCAGUAACUGUAUCUUGAUUACCAAGUCAAUGUUAGUACAGUAUUUCCCCCAGAAUCUGAUUAGCCUGGAGGUCUUUAGGUAAACACAUGAAACUUUUCAUUGUUGCGAUCAAAAUUUUAUAGAGGAGCUAAUAACAGAAAUUUCAACUCUGCGUUUUAAUGAAAAAGAUGCCCUAGUUUACCAAAAUAAAACACAAAUUAGAAGAAAGAGAUGCCAAUCUGAUGUCUUUUGGUGAAAACCAGCAGGUUGCAAUAGUAGUACUUCACAUACCUACUGUUCUACAGAUUUAAGGUGAGAAAUCAUGGCAACAUAUUCUUCUAAAGUUUGUGUGUUUGGUUGGUUGCUUUUUUGACCUGCCCACCUCAUCACUCUAAGGUAAGAGAUCAUGUAGUCAUAGCCACUUUUAAUCUUUGGUUUGUGUAUUUUCUGUUUUAUAACAUUCCCAUCACAUACUCUAAGUCUUUACGUCUUUGGUUCUCUAAAUUCUGCCAGUGUUCCUUUCCUAGGAGUUGAGGAAUUAAAGACAAUAGCCAAUAAUAGGUUUGAGCAGUUUCCCAUAAGACACUCAUUAAAAAAAAAAAAAAAAGUUUCAUAGGUUCUUAAAAAUCUCAGGAAUGAAAUGAAAUUUAAGCUUAUUCAACCCAGGCACUCUAAUAAUCCUCACUAAGCAGUUAACCUCAAAACAUCUGCAGUGGCAUAGCUCAUGACUUUUUAAUCACAGCCCAUCCAAUUUUCAGCUGAUUCUGACUACCAAAGCAAAAUUUGAUUCCCAAAUCUCCUACCCAGUGAACUUAACACUACACUUGAGAACUCCCCCUAAAGGGGUAGGGGAGGUCAGCCUUUUCUUUCUCAUCAGGUUUGAAUUUUAAGUAUUCAAAGACAGCAAAUAUUAUGUAUAUUUAAUCUUAUCAUUAUGCUAAGUGUCCAUUUCCUUUAGUUUUUUCUGUUAUGAUUUCAAGUGCCUACAUCUGAACACCCACUUCUUUGGGGACCAAGAGAGACUUAGAGUCUGGACUGGACCAGGGGAUGGUAACAACCCUAAAUGGCUAUAUGUAGGACAGCUCUAAGCCAAAUCCUUUCAGGAGAACUAAGAAGCUAAGUCUGUGAUAACCAAUAUCAAUGACAACUCUCAAAUCACAGGAGGAUUAAUAAGAACAGGCAAACAUAAGAAUAGAUUGGAGAUACCCAAGAGGAGGAUGUGGAAUGCAUUCACGUGUUGGUGGUUCAUCUUUAUCAAGCAGUUGUGUGGGCAUGUGAAGGACUACAUCAAAACCUGCACACAACAAUAAAAGGUACACAUCCCGGGGCAUGCUCAUAAGGUAAUAAAAGUCCCUUUCACUGUCAAUGGCCUAAUAUCAUAAGGGUAACAAAUAUAUAACUGUUUAGACUGCAAGAAGAUAUAAAGCAUGAUAGCACAUGAACACAAUAUUAAUCAUUUAAAUGGCUUAUUAAGUUAUAAUUUAUCUUCUGAGACAAUGUAAAAAUUGCAAAAUUUUAAACAAAAACUUAGAAUAAACUAGAACACACUCCAUAGAGAAAAGCAGCUCUCCCUCAGACUGUGCCAUUAGCAACUUUGUAAUAGCCCAAACUGGAAACAACCCAGAAGGCCAUAAACAGGAAUGGAUCAACCAACUGGUAAAACUGUACAAUAUAAUACUACACAGGAGGGGGAAAAUAAACUAAUGUGGCUGAAUCUCAAAAAUGUGUCUAGUUAAAAAAAAAAAAAGAAGAGUAUAUACUGUAUGAUUCUAAUUAUAGGAAAUUGCAGAAAAGGCAGAAUUCUAGUAUGAAAAGGUGGAUCACUUGUUGUCAAGUUCAGGGUUAGGAAGGUGUGAAUUAACGUCACCGGGGCAUGAGGGGACUUUUGGGGGUGACAGAAGUAUUCUAUAUAUUGAUUAUGAUGGAGGUCAUAAGUGAGUCUAUGUGUCAAAAUUCACUGAACUGUACACUUAAAAUAAGUGCAUUUUAUCAUCUAAAUUGUAUAUCAUUAAAAUUGAUUUUUUAAAAAAAGCUAUCAGAAAACCAGCUAGAUAACUCUUAAACUCCUUGCCCAUUCAGGGUAUAAAAGGCCAAGGGUGAAGAUAGCUCUAUCUAUCAAAAAAAGUAGUAAAAAACGUUGAAUGCUGUGAACCCUAAUCAUCCUUAAAAAAAAAAAUCUAGGGAAGUUAUGUCUUUCCUUGCCUUAUAUCUGGUGAAAAAGCUUCAAAAGGACUACUCAGAAAACCUAAUAACUGCUUUUUCAGAAUGGAAGAGAAAUGGACUUGAUGUCAGACUCACACUUGAGAAAUCUAAGGCCGAAAACUUUUGAUGGCAGAGCAAAGGUAAGGUAGCAAAUUAGUGAUUUAUCCUACCUAAAAUGCCAUUAGGACAAACUAUUCUGUGGCAUUUUCUGGGAGCUAAGAGAGCACUAGAGUGGGGACAUUUUAGGUCUUGUCUAAGAGAGUAGACCAAAAAGAUAAAGGGUCCUCAGCAGAAAUGCAGCUAGAUGUGAAGGGUUGAAUUCUCAGGAGCUGAAGAAGUGGUUCAGAGACAAGAUGCACCUUCCCUUGUCAAGGUUACCCUAGAUAAGAGGUCUCCACAAAAUGGAGAGUCUCUAAAGAACUUUAAGUCCCACAGCAGAGAUCAUCAUACUUAAAUACACACCAAGUUCAGAGAGCAUGAGGGCAGUUUUUGUAGUACCAGUGAAGGGAAAAUGUUACUGCCCUUCUUUCUUACAUCAUCAUUCACCCUCCAUUCCACUCCAAUCCCAGAGGAAUCCAAAAUCAUGGUUAAUAGGCAGAGAGGGAACAGUAAAACACAAAGACAUAAAAAAAGAAAAGAAGCUGUCCAGACAGUCCCUUAAUAACUACAUGCCUCCAACAAAUAGAAAGUUUGAGCUCAGGGGCAUUUCUGACUGUAAGUCAAGUGUGCACUUUUGACAACUGUAUAGAAUUAGGUAAUUAAUUUCUGAACCAGUACUAUUCAUGUUAGAUAUGAAUAACCAGAAAAGUUGAGCACCUUCCUGACUUCCUUAAGAGUUGCAGGAAAAUAAAUAUUCCCACCAAGUGAAAUUCAAAAGAGAAAGGAAGACAAAAGUAAAAUUGGUACUAUAGGGGCACAUCUGGGUGGCCCAGCCGAUUGAUAAUCCAACUUAGUCUCCUACAGAGACUAAGCACUAAGUCUCUCUCUUCUCACUGAAGUAUUCUGUCAAAUUAGUUUAACCUGACCAUCUCUACACUCAAAGUCAAAGGCUUUUUGUCUUCUGCACACAAUAUUCAGUAAUUAGUUGUUGAAUAAAGCAUUAAGUGAAUAAGUAUAAUCAAACAUACCUAUUUCUAAUGCCACCAUUGAUAUAAGGUUUUAUAGUUCUUUUUACUUACUACUAAAUUUGAGUAUAGGAUUAGAUAAAACAUCAUAUUUGCCAUUCAUUAAGCAUCAAUUCUCUAUGGUUGUCAUUUAAAAAAAAAGUCUAUCCUCAUUUUGCUAAGCAAAAAGAAAUGAACAGAAAUAGAAAUGCAGAUUUAUUCACUUAUCAUUUAUCAAAUACUCAACUUUAUACUGAUCUGUCAGGGCUCAAUUCUGUCUAUCCAACACACAGUGGCUUAGGCCCAAAGUGAAGAUAUCGACUUAAAUGACUGAAAAGGCCCUGACAAAAUAGCUUUGAGUUAUGGUUCAUUAAAACCACCAGGACCAAGUUACUCUUUCCCUUUUGCCAAAUUUUGUUUCUUUUGGCAUAGAUCCAUCCUCAGAGGCCUCUUCUCUUAUAGCAGAAACAUGGCUACAAAGUGUCCUGUGAUACAUCCUUUCAAGUUAAAGUCUAGAGGCAAGAUAGAGCCUACUUCCUUGGUACCAUUUGUUUUUAAAGUCCCAGAAUUUAGUGCCUUUGGAUAAAGGGUUAAUAAAAUAAUUUCCCUCACCACAUGAGAUUCUGACAAUUGGUCAGAUAUCUAGCUCUCCUAGCCAAUUGAUGACAGUCAAGGGUCGACUAUUUUGUUAGGCGUUUCUACAAUAAAAGUGAUCCUUGAUUACUUAGAGGAACUCUAAAUCAACAAAAUAGCUGAUGAGAUUGCCAUGCUUUGGGCUUCCCUGAGUUUAGUGACUCUUAUAACUGGUACUUCCUUUGCAGAGACCCUGGAAGCUAAGCUUAUGCAUUCAUUCCAAAGAUACUGGCUUGUAUAGGGCAUUACUUCAUCACUUGUACAGUGUAAAUCUUGUUUUCUUGCACCUGAGCCAUACUGCUAUUCUAGACUGCUGCAAGUACUCUUGCAGAGAAAGAAUGUCUACUGCCACAGGCAAGCUGUGCUUCCUUUCCUAUAACCUUCUGAGUAGUCUAGUAGUUAGGGGUGACAUAAGCAAGUGAGUUUAAAUGUUUAGCUCAAAAGACCCUGAUAGGUAUUACAGUGCCCAUCUCUGAAACAAUAACUGUAACAAGGGGAAUAGAAAUGACUGAUUGGAAUAACCUCAGAUUACAUGUUCCAACCCUGGAACAAAGAGAUGUUGAGCUUCUUCAUCCAAUGUACAGGGGCUGCAAGUGAAGUAGGACUGGUUCCCCUGAAGCCCAGAUUUCUUUACCAAAAGAAGAAUGAAAUGCCCAGCAACCAACCCAGUAAAUAUUUGCUAUGUAAUUGACUCCUUCCUCCAUACCAUAUCAAAGCCCAUGGGAUUCAAAUUCUUGCUUCAACCAAAUGACCAAUAAGUACAUGUCAGGAACCUAUGAUUCAAGUAAUCAAAAAAAAGUUGCAUGUUUAAAAUAGCAAAUGCUAAAAAUCUACAAUAAGCCAUUGUUGUACCUCUUUUAAAUGAUAAUCUACAACUGAAUUUUGGCCUACUAUUAAUAGGGGGUCCCAAAGGAUUCAGCAAUUAUCAAAAUCCCCUGAUGUCUUUGUUAGAUAUUUUUUUACUGUUUUCCUUCCAAAUUGUUUAAAGUGAAAAAAUUGAAAUUAAUUCCCAUCCAAGAGACAGUUAAACACAGUUAAAAGCACAAACUCUAAAUGAAGAAUAUACAGGCUUGAAGCCUGCUCCCUCUAACUUGCUGAUUUUGUGCAAAGUUUAGUUCAAUCUAUGUUUCUCCUAGGACACCUGGGUGGUUCGGCGGUUGGGCAUCUGCCUUCAUCUCAGGGCGUGAUCUCGGGAUUCGGGACUGAGUCCUACAUUGGGCUGCCAGGGGCCUGCUUCUCCCUCUGCCUGUGUCUCUACCUGACUCUCUUCUCUCUCUUUCUGUGUCUCUCAUGAAUAUAUAAAAUAUUUUUUUAAAAAUCUAUGUUUCUCAGUUUGUCAAUUUGGAAAAUGGAGAGGAUAUCCACCUCAAUGGGUAAUUUUGAGGAGUAAAUAAGUAAAAAUAUAUGUAAAACACAAUGACACCUAACACGAAGAAGAAGCAAGUAUUACUCAAUAUUAUUAUCCUCAUCCCUGAAUUUUGAUAUAUGUAAUCCACAUCUCAACAGGACAUUUUUUUCCUACUUUAAGAGAAUGACUACAUGUAAUAAAAAAAAAAUUGUGACUUUGGGAGAAAU